GUGAGUUUUUGUACAUUUUAGAUUAAGUUUAAAUGUAACUUGCUCGCAGGUGUAUGGUAGUGUUUUUUUCACGUUGAACUGUUUUUUAAUGCAAAUUUUACUGCAAAACUUAAAAAAUACGUGUCGCACCUGUUCCCGUGUACAAAAUGCUUCAAACAGGGAUUGGACUGCGCAUUUGCUUUUGUUUUGAAACGGCGGAAGUACUUCCUCUAACUCUAACCCACAGUUUGACAGGGUCACGCUGCAAAUCCAGCCGGAUGUUUUGAGUCGCCAAUGUGUGAUGGGAACAUUUCCUCGUUUUGUUUGUUUGUUUGUUUGUUUUAAAUAAAAACUUCUCCAGCGGCGGCCAUUGAUCAGUGUUUUUAACCUCAGACUUAUGAGAAAGAGGUCGCCGUCCGGGCUCGUGUCGAUGCAGUGAGACCUUCACCUGCCACCUGGAAAUAAAGCCAAACGCAGGACAAGCAAGCAGGCUGACAAACCGAAGUUGCCCGCCACAGCCACAAGAGGGCGCUUCAGAUGGAGGCGACCUACAGGUCUGAGCUCCACCUGAUGGGGAGCAGAGCGACGACCCGCCUGAAGCGACUCGGAGUCACAGCUUGCGAAUCACCGGCAGAGGACUGCGAGUAGACACCGGAAAUGCACAGGAAAACGUUUCGGUUUCCACAUUUGUGGCAAAUGAUCAAUAUUGUCACUGAUGUUCUUUCUGAUAUGAACGGUCAUCAAAAUUCUUUCCAAUUAAUUUUGUAGUAAUUGUUGCACCUCUAAUCUACUGUAUGUCUUAUUUUCAUUGU